GUUUAUAUAGUUUAAAAAAAACAUUACAUUUUCAUUGUAAAAAUAAAGAUAUUUUUUUUAUAAAUU
rnacentral:tRNA from 1 species